UGGGGAAUAUUGGACAAUGGGCGAAAGCCUGAUCCAGCCAUGCCGCGUGUGUGAAGAAGGUCUUCGGAUUGUAAAGCACUUUAAGUUGGGAGGAAGGGCAGUAAGCGAAUACCUUGCUGUUUUGACGUUACCGACAGAAUAAGCACCGGCUAACUCUGUGCCAGCAGCCGCGGUAAUACAGAGGGUGCAAGCGUUAAUCGGAAUUACUGGGCGUAAAGCGCGCGUAGGUGGUUCGUUAAGUUGAAUGUGAAAGCCCCGGGCUCAACCUGGGAACUGCAUCCAAAACUGGCGAGCUAGAGUAGGGCAGAGGGUGGUGGAACUUCCUGUGUAGCGGUGAAAUGCGUAGAUAUAGGAAGGAACACCAGUGGCGAAGGCGACCACCUGGGCUCAUACUGACACUGAGGUGCGAAAGCGUGGGGAGCAAACAGG
rnacentral:rRNA from 1 species